ACGGGGGGGGCAAGCGUUGUUCGGAAUUACUGGGCGUAAAGGGCUCGUAGGUGGCCACCUAAGUCCGACGUGAAAUCCCUCGGCUCAACCGGGGAACUGCGUCGGAUACUGGGUGGCUUGAAUCCGGGAGAGGGACGUGGAAUUCCAGGUGUAGCGGUGAAAUGCGUAGAUAUCUGGAGGAACACCGGUGGCGAAGGCGGCGUCCUGGACCGGUAUUGACACUGAGGAGCGAAAGCCAGGGGAGCAAACGGGAUUAGAUACCCCGGUAGUCCUGGCCCUAAACGAUGAGUGCUUGGUGUGGCGGGUAUCGAUCCCCGCCGUGCCGGAGCUAACGCGUUAAGCACUCCGCCUGGGGAGUACGGUCGCAAGGCUG
rnacentral:rRNA from 1 species